rnacentral:rRNA from 1 species
CUUCGGUGGCUGACGAGUGGCGAACGGGUGAGUAAUACAUCGGAACGUGCCCGAUCGUGGGGGAUAACGGAGCGAAAGCUUUGCUAAUACCGCAUACGAUCUACGGAUGAAAGCAGGGGACCCUCGGGCCUUGCGCGAACGGAGCGGCCGAUGGCAGAUUAGGUAGUUGGUGGGAUAAAAGCUUACCAAGCCGACGAUCUGUAGCUGGUCUGAGAGGACGACCAGCCACACUGGGACUGAGACACGGCCCAGACUCCUACGGGAGGCAGCAGUGGGGAAUUUUGGACAAUGGGCGAAAGCCUGAUCCAGCAAUGCCGCGUGCAGGAUGAAGGCCUUCGGGUUGUAAACUGCUUUUGUACGGAACGAAAAGCUUCAGGAUAAUACCCUGGGGCCAUGACGGUACCGUAAGAAUAAGCACCGGCUAACUACGUGCCAGCAGCCGCGGUAAUACGUAGGGUGCAAGCGUUAAUCGGAAUUACUGGGCGUAAAGCGUGCGCAGGCGGUUAUGUAAGACAGAUGUGAAAUCCCCGGGCUCAACCUGGGAACUGCAUUUGUGACUGCAUAGCUAGAGUGCGGCAGAGGGGGAUGGAAUUCCGCGUGUAGCAGUGAAAUGCGUAGAUAUGCGGAGGAACACCGAUGGCGAAGGC